UACGGGAGGCAGCAGUAGGGAAUCUUCCGCAAUGGACGAAAGUCUGACGGAGCAACGCCGCGUGAGUGAUGAAGGUUUUCGGAUCGUAAAGCUCUGUUGUUAGGGAAGAACAAGUGCCGUUCAAAUAGGGCGGCACCUUGACGGUACCUAACCAGAAAGCCACGGCUAACUACGUGCCAGCAGCCGCGGUAAUACGUAGGUGGCAAGCGUUGUCCGGAAUUAUUGGGCGUAAAGGGCUCGCAGGCGGUUUCUUAAGUCUGAUGUGAAAGCCCCCGGCUCAACCGGGGAGGGUCAUUGGAAACUGGGGAACUUGAGUGCAGAAGAGGAGAGUGGAAUUCCACGUGUAGCGGUGAAAUGCGUAGAGAUGUGGAGGAACACCAGUGGCGAGCGACUCUCUGGUCUGUAACUGACGCUGAGGAGCGAAAGCGUGGGGAGCGAACAGGAUUAGAUACCCUGGUAGUCCACGCCGUAAACGAUGAGUGCUAAGUGUUAGGGGGUUUCCGCCCCUUAGUGCUGCAGCUAACGCAUAAGCACUCCGCCUGGGGAUACGGUCGCAAGACUGAAACUCAAAGGAAUUGACGGGGGCCCGCACAAGCGGUGGAGCAUGUGGUUUAAUUCGAAGCAACGCGAAGAACCUUACCAGGUCUUGACAUCCUCUGACAAUCCUAGAGAUAGGACGUCCCCUUCGGGGGCAGAGUGACAGGUGGUGCAUGGUUGUCGUCAGCUCGUGUCGUGAGAUGUUGGGUUAAGUCCCGCAACGAGCGCAACCCUUGAUCUUAGUUGCCAGCAUUCAGUUGGGCACUCUAAGGUGACUGCCGGUGACAAACCGGA
rnacentral:rRNA from 1 species